ensembl:snoRNA
GAUGUAAUUUCUCUGUGGUUCCAAUCCCAUGGGCCUCUCACAGUGUCCCAGGCCAAAGCAAACUGUAACCUCGGACCAUUGCCUGGCUCUACCCCGUGGGCUUCAGGCACUGAAGUGGGUUGCACAUUG